AAAGUCGUAACAAGGUUUCCGUAGGUGAACCUGCGGAAGGAUCAUUAUCGAAUCCUUAGGAUGCUGCUGGCCUCUCGGGGCACUGUGCACUCCGCCUUUUCAUCUCACCUGUGCACUUAUUGUAGGCUGGACUUGUCAUGAGUUCAUGUCUAUGUUUUUAACACACACCUUUAUAAAAAAGUUUAUUGAAUGUCUUUGUUAAGUAGACCUUUAUUGGUCGAAAAAUUAAAUACAACUUUCAACAAUGGAUCUCUUGGUUCUC
rnacentral:misc_RNA from 1 species